UACGUAGGGGGCUAGCGUUGUCCGGAAUCAUUGGGCGUAAAGAGCGUGUAGGCGGUCCGGUAAGUCCGCUGUGAAAGUCGGGGGCUCAACCCUCGAAUGCCGGUGGAUACUGUCGGGCUAGAGUGCGGAAGAGGCGAGUGGAAUUCCUGGUGUAGCGGUGAAAUGCGCAGAUAUCAGGAGGAACACCAACGGCGAAGGCAGCUCGCUAGGACGGUACUGACGCUGAGACGCGAAAGCGUGGGGAGCAAACAGG
rnacentral:rRNA from 1 species